GAAGAUGAGGAGUCUGUUGAAGAUGAUUCCGUGGAGAGCAGGAUGGUGGUGACAUUUCUCAUAUCAGCUCUCGAGUCCACGAUGUUGGAAUUUCUGAUGAAUCUGCAGUCAGCAUUUUGCAUGAACUGUGUGUGGAUUCAUUGCCUACAUUGGAUGAUGAAGACUUGAGUGUUGCUACUAAGCAGUGUGUCCCCGAGAAAGUGUCAGAGCCUUUACGUGGACCUUCUCAUGAAAAAGGAAACAGAAUAGUCAAUGGAAAAGGAAAAGGGCCUCCUGCAAAACAUCCUUCCUUGAAGCCUAGCACUGAAGUGGAAGAUCCUGCUGUGAAAGGAGCAGUACAAAGAAAGAAUGUACAGACAUUGAGAGCAGAACAAACCUUACCAGUGGCUUUAGAGGAAGAGCAAGAAAGGUGUGAAAGAAGUGAAAAGAAGCAAUCACAGGUCAAAGAAGGAAAUAAUACAAACAAAAGUGAAAAAAUACAACUAUCAGAAAAUGUAUGUCAUAGUACAUCUUCUGCUGCUGCUGACAGAUUAACCAAAGAAAGAAAGAUUGGGAAAACGUAUCCUCAGCAAUUUCCCAAGAAACUGAAGGAAGAGCAUGAUAGAUGCAUCUUAAGACAAGAAAGUGAAGAAAAAACAAAUGUUAAUAUGCUGUACAAAAAAAUAGAGAAGAAUUAGAAAGGAAAGGGAAACAAUAUAAGAAAGAAGUUGAAGCAAAACAACUUGAACCAACUAUUCAAUCACUAGAGAUGAAACCGAAGACUACAAGAAAUACUCCAAAUCAGAUAAAUAAAUCUUUGG
rnacentral:lncRNA from 1 species